rnacentral:rRNA from 1 species
AUUGAACGCUGGCGGCAGGCUUAACACAUGCAAGUCGAGCGGAGAUGAGGUGCUUGCACCUUAUCUUAGCGGCGGACGGGUGAGUAAUGCUUAGGAAUCUGCCUAUUAGUGGGGGACAACAUUCCGAAAGGAAUGCUAAUACCGCAUACGUCCUACGGGAGAAAGCAGGGGAUCUUCGGACCUUGCGCUAAUAGAUGGGCCUAAGUCGGAUUAGCUAGUUGGUGGGGUAAAGGCCUACCAAGGCGACGAUCUGUAGCGGGUCUGAGAGGAUGAUCCGCCACACUGGGACUGAGACCCGGCCCAGACUCCUACGGGAGGCAGCAGUGGGGAAUAUUGGACAAUGGGGGAAACCCUGAUCCAGCCAUGCCGCGUGUGUGAAGAAGGCCUUAUGGUUGUAAAGCACUUUAAGCGAGGAGGAGGCUACUGAGACUAAUACUCUUGGAUAGUGGACGUUACUCGCAGAAUAAGCACCGGCUAACUCUGUGCCAGCCGCCGCCGUAA